GUGAUCAACGCUGAACACAGAUCACUUACUAUGUAUUUGGCGCUUAGCUGGAUUUUCCUUGUUGCUAUUUUAAAAGGUGUGCAGUGUGAGGUGCAGCUUGUGGUGUCUGGGGGAGGAUUGGUGAAGCCUGGCGGGUCCCUGAAACUUUCCUGUGCAGCCUGUGGAUUCAACUUCAGUGAAUACUACAUGUACUGGGUCUGCCAGGCUCCAGGGAAGGGGCUGGAGUUGCUCUCAUACAUUAAUGGUGAUGGUGGUAGCACAAAUUAUGCAGACUCCGUGAAGGGCAGAUUCACCAUCUCCAGAGACAAUUCCAAGAACACAUUGUAUCUGCAAAUGAACAUCCUGAGAGCUGACGACACUGCCACGUAUUACUGUGCAAGAAACACAGUGUGUGAACUUCAGUGUGAGCCCAGACACAAACCUCCCUGCAGGGACGCUCACAACCAGCAGGGGGCGCGCAGGACACACUGA